rnacentral:rRNA from 1 species
AUUGAACGCUGGCGGCAGGCCUAACACAUGCAAGUCGAUCGUGAGCGGACGGGUGCGUAAUGCCUAUGAAUCUGCCUGUUCGUGGGGGAUAACGUCCGGAAACGGGCGCUAAUGCCGCAUACUAUCCGAUGCGCCUGGGUCGGGUUGGCGAGUUGGAGGGGUAGCGGUUCACCUAGGCGACGAUCCCUAGCUGGUCUGAGAGGAUGAGCAGCCACACUGGAACGGAGACACGGUCCAGACUCCUACGGGAGGCAGCAGUGGGGAAUAUUGCACAAUGGGCGCAAGCCUGAUGCAGCCAUGCCGCGUGUGUGAAGAAGGCCUUCGGGUUGUAAAGCACUUUCAGCGGGGAGGCGUUACCCGCAGAAGAAGCACCGGCUAACUCCGUGCCAGCAGCCGCGGUAAUAC